rnacentral:rRNA from 1 species
ACGGCGAGUGAAGCGGCAAAAGCUCAAAUUUGAAAUCCUGCGGGAAUUGUAAUUUGAAGGUUUCGUGGUCUGAGUCGGCCGCGCCCAAGUCCAUUGGAACAUGGCGCCUGGGAGGGUGAGAGCCCCGUAUGGCGCACGCCGACUCUUUGCACCGCGGCUCCGACGAGUCGAGUUGUUUGGGAAUGCAGCUCUAAGUGGGUGGUAAAUUCCAUCUAAAGCUAAAUAUUGGCGAGAGACCGAUAGCGAACAAGUACAGUGAUGGAAAGAUGAAAAGCACUUUGAAAAGAGAGUGAAACAGCACGUGAAAUUGUUGAAAGGGAAGGGCUUGCAAGCAGACACGGUUUUACCGGGCCAGCGUCGAAAAGGGGGGAGGAACAAGAACUCGAGAAUGUGGCGCGCACCUUCGGGCGCGCGUGUUAUAGCUCGUGUUGACGCCUCCAUCCCUUUUCGAGGCCUGCGAUUCUAGGACGCUGGCGUAAUGGUUGCAAGCCGCCCGUCUUGAA